GAUGAAGAACGUAGCGAAAUGCGAUAAGUAAUGUGAAUUGCAGAAUUCAGUGAAUCAUCGAGUCUUUGAACGCACAUUGCGCCCCCUGGUAUUCCGGGGGGCAUGCCUGUCCGAGCAUCAUUGCUGCCCUCAAGCACGGCUUGUGUGUUGGGCCCCGCCCCCCGGCUCCCGGGGGGCGGGCCCGAAAGGCAGCGGCGGCACCGCGUCCGGUCCUCGAGCGUAUGGGGCUUCGUCACCCGCUCCGUAGGCCCGGCCGGCGCCCGCCGGCGACCCCCCUCAAUCUUUUCAGGUUGACCUCGGAUCAGGUAGGGAUACCCGCUGAACUUAAGCAUAUCAAUAAGCGGAGGA
rnacentral:misc_RNA from 1 species